rnacentral:tRNA from 1 species
GUGGGCGUAGCUCAGUCGGUUAGAGCGUCAGAUUGUGGCUCUGAAGGUCGCCGGUUCGAUCCCGGUCGUCCACCCCA